rnacentral:rRNA from 1 species
UACGUAGGGCGCAAGCGUUGUCCGGAAUUAUUGGGCGUAAAGAGCUCGUAGGCGGCUUGUCACGUCGGGUGUGAAAGCCCGGGGCUUAACCCCGGGUCUGCAUUCGAUACGGGCUGGCUGGAGUGUGGUAGGGGAGAUCGGAAUUCCUGGUGUAGCGGUGAAAUGCGCAGAUAUCGGGAAGAACACCCGUGGCGAAGGCGGCUCUCUGGGACGGUACUGACGCUGAGACGCGAAAGCGUGGGGAGCGAACAGG